GUCUCUACUAUACCCAAGACCUGUCUCAUAUAUGAUGGUAAAAGGUUAUCGGUUGUGUGAAGCAAAUGCAUGUGUAAUACUGUUUAGAAUUAGUUUGUGUGUGUGUUAAAUGUAAAGUGUGACACUGAAAAAUGUAUUGUACGCUCUCCUGGUUGGAUUCAUGUAUACAGCAACUGUCCAUUUGUGUGUCUAACUCUCUCUCUCUCCCUCUCCCUCUUUCUCUCUCUAUCUCUCUCUCUAUGAAUCCCUCUCCCUCUCUCUCACUCUCUCUCCCGUCCUCCCUCCCUCCCUCUCUUCCUCUCUCCCCCCUCUAUCUCUCCCUCCCUUCCUCUAUCUCCCUCUCUUCUUCCCUCCCUCCCUCUCUCUCUGCGUCUCUCUCUCUCGCUCUCUUUCCAUCUCUCUCUGACUGAGCCUCAUGGCAUCACAACGCCUUAUGGCAACAUGACAAUGGCGAAAGCCUAUCAGUCACUCAGGCCUCUGGCCUGGAUUCUUUCUCUCUACCUCCCUCUCCCUAUGACUCCCUCUCUCUCCCUCUCUCUAUGAGUCCCUCUCUCUCUCUCCCUCCCUCUCUGUCUAUGAGUCCCUCUCCUCUCCUACAUCUCUCUCUCUCUAUCUCUCUCCAUCUCUCUCUGCCUCUGCCUCACGGCAUCACAACGCCUUAUGGCAACAUACAAACUGGCGAUAAGCCUCAGUCACUAUCAGGCCUCUGGGCUGGAUUCCUGUGUUGUGCUGCACAAUCGUUGGAAUCCGCCAGUGGUUUCCUGAGAAUCCAGAUGUCCUCUGAACAGAACCAUGGGCUAAGUCCUCCUCUUUCUCUAAUUUCUUUACAUACAUUACAUUAUUUACAUUGCAGAUAUUUUAAAUAGAUAUUUAGACAUUCCGUAUGAAAACUAGUGAUUUAUCUGCCUUUGCUUGCUGUCUGUCCAGGACAAACCUAGGGCAUCCUCAGGCAUCCAGAGGUCAGACGGUACUUCCUGCCAUGAGAUGGAAUGGGACUCAGGUAUCUGUCAAGUGUCAACUCAUGUUUACCCACUGAAGCAGUCAUCUGCAGGUGAUCUGGAUGACAUCGUUGACAUGGUCCAGAGGAUGUGCCUGAGUGAGGAGAUGGACUGGACACCUCAGAUGAAUCCUGUAGAUGACCUCACCCAAUCAUUCCAGAGUUUGCACUUGGCUGACACGGAGGAGGAGGAGGAGGAGGAGGAGGAGGAGGAGGAGCAGGAGAUGGACUGGGACAAACCCAGGGCAUCCGAGGGCAUCCAGAGGUCAGACGGUAUUUCCUGCCAUGAGAUGGAAUGGAUGUCAAAGGAUGCCUCCACUGGCUUGAUAGAAUCUCUCCAGUGCCUGACACUGGGAUCAGCUGAAGAGGAGAUGGUGGAGAUUGCUUAAUGAGACAGUAGAUUGUUUUGUUAAACUGAGGGCUGUACAUUUGUAAAUAGUUUUAAUUGUACAUAUUUAAAUGUCUGUAUGUCUGCAUUAGUAAGUCAAAUGCAAAAUAUAAUAAAUUGUAACAAAGAUGUCCCCCGAAGAGGGGG
rnacentral:lncRNA from 1 species